UGAACAGAAUGUGCUUUCAGUCUUCAACACAACAUCUUCUGUAAAGCAACAAUUAACUUAAUUAGCUUUUUAUUACAACAUGAAGACAACAAUGAUUGCAUUUUCAAUUAUUUUCGCAUUAAUUAUCACACUCGGCGAUGCUAACCAACUAGAAGAUAAUCGCUUAUUAAGAGCUUUUUUAAUUAAAAGAACGAUAAACUUGGGAAAUCGAGUGAGUAAAAUAAUUGUGUUUAAUUGCUUCUUACUGGUUACUGCAUUUAUUUUGUAAUGCGAAGUCGUACAUCUUAAUGAACUGAUCACACAAGUGUUUUCACAUAACAAUAAUUAUUUAAGUAAAUUUUGAAAGCCCAAAAAUUUUCAAUCACCUAUUUGGAUAAAUGAAAAUCCUUUUGGUAGUUAGAUUGAAAUAAAUAUGCAUAAACGUACAGAUUAACGUUGUCCUAAAUAAUUCAAAAAUAAGUUCUUGGUUCUAGAAAGUGGUGCUCAGCUUAUACAGUUCAAGACUAGGUCUAGAUAUAGCCGAAAUCUUUAUUAUUAUGGGGUGAAAUUAUUGUACCUAUGUAUCUUCAACUUGUAAAAAAUGUGUCAAAAACGGUUGUUGUUCAAUGUUUGAAAAUGCUCAAAUAUUUACAGAAUUUUAUAAACUGGAACUUUAUUUUUUUUUCGAAGGACUAUAA